rnacentral:snoRNA from 1 species
AUCCCAUGCUGAGGAUAGGCAGCCACGUAUUCCUGAAGUCGUUCCCAUGCCUUGGGAAUGGACUCAUCCCUUGUCUACUGGAAACUUGAAAUUCUUCCAUGAAGGGU